CUCUAGGGAGGUGGGGAUUUCUCUCCCCAUAAGGAUUUUCUUUUUUAUCAUCUGCCACCUUCUGGAAAAGUACAGAGUGGGAGUUUUUAUUCUGCCUACCCAUUGCCCCAUAGAAUAUGUAGAGGCAUUGGAGUAUGUCAGGAAAACCUAUAUAGGAAUGUGAGCAUGUUUUCAUGUCAGAAAGAACUGGUACAAUACUUUGAUAAGCACUGAAAGAAUAUAUUCAAAACUCUGUCACAAAACCAAAAUAAGCAAGCCUUCAGUCAGAAUGUUAUUUUCGCCAACAGAAAAAUUUUCCUUCUCCUUUGUGUAUUUUAUCUUUAGAUUUUAAGUGAUAUUGACUUUAAUGUUGAUCAAUUUGAACGCCAGCCUCUAGAAGAAAAUUUGCCUUAUUCUCUGGAAGAUGAUGGAUCUCAAAUUUUUGCACCCAUUUAAAGAACACAAGAUAUGGGUCUUUGAAACAUCUCCUUCCUGAACAUCGAUGUAUAUACUUCAUCUAACAAAUCAAAUUCUUACUCUAUGUUCUAUACACAUGAGUUUGGUUCUACUAUGAUGGCAUCUGUGGGUUAUAUCAUGUCUACCAAAGGAAAUGGAUAACAACAGCUCUGGAAUUUGAAUUUCUUUACUUUCACUAAUAAAUCUCUCUUGCAAGCAUA